AACACCAACAUGUUCUCUUUAUCUCUGCUGUUGCUUCUGUUGGCUGCUGGAUCUCAUGUGAAGUCUGAACAACUGACACAGCCUGCCUCCUUAGCUAUGCAGGCAGGUCAGCGUCUGACCAUUACCUGCCAGGUCUCCUUUUCUGUCAGCACCUAUCGAACAAAUUGGAUCAGACAGCCUGUUGGAAAAGGACUGGAGUGGAUUGGUAGCGCACACAUUGGAUAUCCCACGUUUUACAAAGAUUCACUAAAGAAUAGGUUUAGUAUGACCUUACAGGAUUCCAGUAAAACAAUGACCCUUAAUGGACAGAAUAUGCAGCCUGAAGACUCAGCUGUGUAUUACUGUGCCAGAUACGACCACAGUGACACAAACAAGCAGCAGAGCUGAACAAAAAC